AACGAACGCUGGCGGCAGGCCUAACACAUGCAAGUCGAACGGGACCUUCGGGUCUAGUGGCGGACGGGUGAGUAACGCGUGGGAACGUGCCCUUUGGUUCGGAAUAGCCCCGGGAAACUGGGAGUAAUACCGGAUAAGCCCUACGGGGGAAAGAUUUAUCGCCAAAGGAUCGGCCCGCGUUGGAUUAGGUAGUUGGUGGGGUAAUGGCCUACCAAGCCGACGAUCAAUAGCUGGUUUGAGAGGAUGAUAAGCCACACUGGGACUGAGACACGGCCCAGACUCCUACGGGAGGCAGCAGUGGGGAAUCUUAGACAAUGGGGGAAACCCUGAUCUAGCCAUGCCGCGUGAUCGAUGAAGGCCUUAGGGUUGUAAAGAUCUUUCAGUGGGGAAGAUAAUGACUGUACCCACAGAAGAAGCCCCGGCUAACUCCGUGCCAGCCGCCGCCGUAA
rnacentral:rRNA from 1 species